AAAAACUAUGGUUUCAGUUCAGUUUCAGUUCAGUGAAACCAGUUUUUUUGCACACUCCUAGGAACAGCUGUAGAAUAUUUAUGAUAUGGUUCCUGUAUACUUUUUUCUCAAACGCUCAAAUAACCUAAUAUUUGCAAAAGCCCCAUAUACAAAUCAUUUGAUUCAUGUGUAAGAAUUAAUACAUAAUUGACAUUUUUUUGUGGAAUUUUAUGUUUUUACUUAUUUGUCGUAUGUGUUAAAAGAUCCUUGUAAAAAUCAGAUCAAACUAUGGAGCAUAUUGUGCUUCUAGUUUUUUUCAUACUGAUAACAUUGUCGUGAUUUGAGUACUUAUCUUAUAGGGUUUUGUUUCUUUUUUUUUUUUCCCCUUUCUUUUUCCUAUCAAUAUAAAUGAUUGUUAACUGUGGUUUUGGCAUAAGUGCAGAAACUUCAGAAGCAACACAACUGUAUUCACUAUGAUCAGACACUGCUUGCAGUAAGAUACUAAGAUUCUUCCAUCACUAUUUAGCUUUGCUAUUUGUGAUGCAUGGUCUUGAAGGUCAACUUGAACGUAGAACGUUGAUCUAUACCCUGUGGAACCAGUCUACAAAGAUGGAGAAUAAAGGCUGGCAUCCUAUUACUUUCAGCUAUGCAAAUGCUAGCCCUCAAGGAUAAAAGGAAAUGAAGGUUAUCUUCUGAUACCUUAUAUUAUACCUGUGCAUAGAUUUAGCUGCAUAAUUGGUGGAUAAUUGAGAACUACUUGUGCAGAGAUUUUAUUCUUUUUUGUCAAUAGUUCUAUUAAUUAUCAUAGUCUGCAAAAUUAUGCUCAAUUACUGACCUACUUUCACAUAUACUUGGUACCUCAAAUGGGAUUGGUAUACACAGAAUAGCAUACACCACACAAAGAUUUUGAAGACCCUAGUAACAACAUAUUCCUAGGUAGCUGUGGCUGAAUCAGUUAAUUUGGAUGUAACAAUCUAAUAGGACCAUAUUUUAUCUGUGUUUAGCUAAUUACGUAUCUAUCACGUAUAGUACAGUUAUCAGUUAGAUAAAGUGAUAAUUACAGUAUAAAGAGAAGCAUUUUUCUUUUUAUAUUUUCGGUAUUGGAGAAGCGUUAUUCUCAAAAGCUCACGUCAGUUCCACAGUGAGUGAUGGGGGUGAUAGUGUAUUAGUAGCUCAUAAUUCUAUCUUUGAAGCAGAAAUCAAUUGAAGAAAAAGUCAUUGAUUCAAGAGAAAGUUGAACAGGUGAACAAUAAUUACGUAUCUACUUAGUGUAAUAGGUGAACAAUAAUUACGUAUCUACUUAGUGUGAUUAAUAACAGCUAUAUAUUUGCAUGUUGUUUAACUAUGAUCAUGGUGUGUAUCACAUUGCAUAAGUGACUUUGUAUGGCAUUGUUAUCUGAUAGCUGCAGCUUUUUCUAUAAGUAGUAGUAAUAGAGAGAGAAGAACU